GUACUGGGACGAUUCCGCGGAGCCGGGCAGAGGUUUUAGGGGUGCGCAGGAGUCAAGUGGUGGUUCAGUGGGGACGGUGAGGUGGAGGACGAUCUGGUCGGAUAGCCGCGGGCACGAACCUGGGAACCAGAGGGUGGAGGCCAUGCUGGGGACUGAUGUAGGGCGGGACCGACUGGAAGCGGCAUCCAGAGGCCCAGUGAGCCUCGGUCUCAGCUCCUGAAGGGGUUGCAUGGGGCCCUACGCUUCCUUCUCCAUUUUUUAGCUAAGAGAUUGAGAGAGUCGGUUUACUUUUGGGCUUGGAGUAUCAUUUAGAUCUGUUAACAGUACAGUUGAGAGAGUUGGUGUCUUUUGUUGAGGUGCGAGGACCCGAGGCGGCGACCCUCGCCUUUAUUCGGAGAAGCCCACUUCCACCCACAGAGUUGGGGUAGUCCUCCGAAAUGCAUUUUUGUUUUGCCGUUUGUUUUCCAACCCCCUUUCACUCUCCCCAAAGCUUCAGAUUCACUGAUUUUUCAUACAGGAAUGAUUAACAAAGGCGUCCGAAGAAAUCGUUGUUGGAAGGUGACCAAGGUGGAAAGAGACGUUGCUUUGGCCCUGCAAAGUCUGUCACACUAAGAUGAGAAAUGUCCUUUCUUCCUGAAGGUGUCUGAUGUGUAAAAAUAUGAUAUACUUUGUGCUGUUUCCUCCCUUCCCUUUUGCAUAUUAUUCUGAAACAACAUUAACUAGUUACUUUGCGUCAUUGAAGGUAUGCACUUCCCCUCUAUGUUAGGAGUGAAUAAAAUUAAAAAUAGAUCCUUAUAACAAAGAAAGGCAGAUAGAAUGAUUAAAAAUGACCAAAACAUGUUAGAAACAGUCUCUCAGGUGUAUGCAGAUGGUAAUUACAAAAAUACUUUUU
rnacentral:lncRNA from 1 species